GUGAGCCGCUCCCUCCUCUUCGUGCCGCCGGCCAUCGCGGCGACGUAGAGUGGCCCAGAUGUGGCCACCCCGUGGUCGGCCUCGACGAGCACGGCCUCGAUCCGGCCUCAGUAGGAAAACCUUGAGCCGAGGAGCGCGGCCUCGAUCGGGACUCGGCAGCUCGGGCAGCGAUGGAGGAGGGGAAAGGAGGGGAGCAGCGGCCAGGUGUCCAGGAGGAACUCGCCUGCCGACUUUGAGAAGAAGAGAUGACAGGUGGAGGUGGGAAAAAUUGCGCUAGGAGGAUGAGGCGUGGGCAUGUUCAACUUAAUUAAUGCGCCUUUUAGCCGUGACUUUUGCCCAAACUUUUGAAAGGAGCGAGCUGAUCUCUCUAUCAGUUCAGGUGGAUGAGCCGUGUCCCGUGUUCUAACGAGUUCAUCUAUGAGGGCGUUGUUCCUUUGUUCUCCCGCUGAAGGUUUGCUCACUUCCUUCUACAUAGAUGCUCCAUUAUUUCUUUUCUUACGUAGUUCUGUUUUGUGGAAUGGCAAACGCUAAAUUCUGCAAUGGUACUUUCUGUCCUAUGCUUAUGGUCAAGCAUUGUGUUAGAUUUUUCCUCUGGUUUUCUAAACAUGAAGUGUACAGAUCUGAGGAUGAAGAGAAUAAGAAUUUAGCUAAAGAGGUGAAGAAGAUCAAGGUGGUUUUACUCCCUCUUUUGAACAUUUGUUCUUGCAUUUUGAUGCUAUAAUUUGUUUCGCUUAAAUAGUUACAGAUGUUUGCACUUAUAAGAUCUUUGCUACUAGGUACAAAGGUUAUAGUUAUUGAAAUUAGGUAAAAGAGAGUUGUAGGUUCGAUUUUCAAUUACGGUAGUUGAUGUGUUAUGUUUGCUGCAAUGUGUCACAUGUGUUUGAGAGAGAGAGGGAUGGAAAAGAGGUGACUGUAACAGGUGGAGAAGAAAGUUAUUUGUUGAUUCUCCAAUCUGAUAGAAAUAGUCUCACGAAUGUUUAUUUACUUAGUGACCACACAUUGAUAUCUUCUUAUGUUGGUAUGUUUGUAUUCAGAAAUUGAAUUUACUUCUUUUUGCUUUUGUGUACCCAUUGGAAUCGAGAAGUUGGCAUGAUGGACAUGUCGGUAGACAUGCUAAACAAGUGGCUGGAGUCGGACAGUGCUACUAACGACGGCCUUGAGAUGCACUUUGUCGUUGGAUAUGAGGAGUAUUAUAUUCUUACUGAAGAGAAGUCAAUACCAGCCAUGUUAUACUUUCAGUGUGUUUGUUGGUUCCAUUUACAUACUUUCUCCAGCUCCCUUGAAAUGUAAUGUAUUUGCUGCCCCCCCCCCACACACACUUUAUGUACACUAAGAGAUAAACUGCCAUUUUGUAGUAUGCUUAUGCUUGAGGGAGUCGAUAUAUAUUAUGUUUGAGCUGCUAAUUUUCAAUUUUAUAAGUAUAAGAGAGUAACAUACAAGGUAAAUGACCUUGCAUUGUCUACUACUCUAUUGAUGUGGCUCUUGGUUUCUGAAGCUCCCGGGAUUUAAUAAUGAGUUGUCUUGGGCUUCAUUGGACAAAUGAUCUACCUGGAGCAAUGAUACAAUCUAGGUUGGUAUUGAAGCCUGAUGGCGUUUUUCUUGCAACAAAUCUUGGCGGGGAGACUCUGAAGUGAUUAUGUCAAAUUUACCAUUUAUCGAAAUUUCCCAGUUUCUUGUUUGACUUGCCUUUUCUUGGAUGCGAUGAUAAGGGAACUAAGAAUUGCGUGCACUAUUGCUCAAAUGGAACAUGAGAGAGGCAUCAGUCCUCAAAUGUCUCCUUUAGCACAAGUUUGAUUCCUUUAUAAUCCACGAUUUUACCCUUAAAGGAGUCGAUGUAGAUUGAUAUACAGUCAAGUACAAUAGUGGCGUGUAUCAAUAAACUUGAAUUUUCCUGGGUUUGAACUAAUAAAUCUAGACUAUGGAGGUAAUGUGCUUUGCUUAUAGAUCGUAUAUGCUGCUCUUAAUUAAUUAUACUUUCUAUGCGAUCAUACAAUUGCAUUCAUUUUUUAAUGUUCACUGGUGAUGGAAAAUGGCCAGUUGAUAUCAAGCUAAGAGGAAGAAAAAUAAGAGGCAACUGAACAUGCUACCCUUGACAGGAAUAAUUUUAAGGCCUAAGUACGAAACUGGAUUAGGUUGACUAGCUUAGUUCAUGUCAAGUGUUAUUGCUGAUUAUUACAUAUCACAGGAACCAAAUACAAAUUUCUUCUCUUGGAAAUUUAUAUCUAGGUCUUGUGUGGUGUGCGCCAUACUUUCCGGUGAAAUGUACAGGCAUGAUCUUUUUUCCUCUUACAGGCGGGGGCGCCCAGCGGAGAGCAUAAAUCAGCUUUUUGCUUGAUCCCCUGCUCCAUCAUGGUGGAGUCUUCGAGCAGCUGCCUGAUUCUGAUGAUGUGCUACUGGCGGAGUUGCCGCAUGAGAUUGAAAAGUACAGGUGGUUGCGUAUCUCAGGAUUUGCGUGUCAGACUAUGACAUCCUUGCCGUCGAAGGCGGAAUCAUCUUUCCAGGAUAGGGCUAGUCGACGUAUAAAGUAGCACAACCUCAUGUUAGGUGCCAUUUUAUUGCUACAGAUAUGGUGUUGUUUUGAUUGUAUAUGUGAUGAUUUUAUCCAUGUGUAUGUAUGUGGUCUUCAAAGUUGUUGAAAGAUUGAAAGCGCAAGCAAGCUCAUCAAAUUCCUUCGGUACUUCCAAAGAAAUCAAUAUCCAUCUGUCUAUGGAAAACUUGAAGAAGGCUCGACUGGCACAUGAAGCUCUUAAAUACUUGAGAGCCUUUUACAACAAGGUCCUACAGGACUACACCUAUGAUAGGUUGUAGUUGGUUGAACAAGGUCCUAUAAGACUACAUACAUAUAUUACACCGGUUGUCCCAGCUCAUAGUUGGUUGUCAUCAGUCCGGUUGGUUGAACAAGGUCCUAUAAGACUACAUACAUAUAUGGCUACAGAUAUGGUGUUGCCAUUUUAUUGCUACAGAUAUGGUGUUGUCCUGAUUGUAUACAUACAUAUAAUUCUGUAGUUUGUUCACGCCCGAAUAAUAUUAAUGUACAC